GAUGAACGCUGGCGGCGUGCCUAAUACAUGCAAGUCGAGCGAACGGACGAGAAGCUUGCUUCUCUGAUGUUAGCGGCGGACGGGUGAGUAACACGUGGAUAACCUACCUAUAAGACUGGGAUAACUUCGGGAAACCGGAGCUAAUACCGGAUAAUAUUUUGAACCGCAUGGUUCAAAAGUGAAAGACGGUCUUGCUGUCACUUAUAGAUGGAUCCGCGCUGCAUUAGCUAGUUGGUAAGGUAACGGCUUACCAAGGCAACGAUGCAUAGCCGACCUGAGAGGGUGAUCGGCCACACUGGAACUGAGACACGGUCCAGACUACUACGGGAGGCAGCAGUAGGGAAUCUUACGCAAUGGGCGAAAGCCUGACGGAGCAACGCCGCGUGAGUGAUGAAGGUCUUCGGAUCGUAAAACUCUGUUAUUAGGGAAGAACAUAUGUGUAAGUAACUGUGCACAUCUUGACGGUACCUAAUCAGAAAGCCACGGCUAACUACGUG
rnacentral:rRNA from 1 species